GGUCGCCCUGAGAGUUUGAACCGUAGUCAGUUACAUUCUUCAUCACCCAGCCAACUGACAAUUAAUGUGCAUUCAGUAAUUAUAGUUAAUGAUCACAUGAUUAAUGGUACCUAAGAGUCUCGACCUGUCAUUGAUUGAUAUCUAUUUCAUUGUCAUGUCUUGUUAUUCCUGUGUUUUAAUAACUCUUCCUGUCCCCAGUUGUCAACCAUGAUGUUAGUCCUGUCCCCAGUUGUCAACCAUGAUGUUAGUCCUGUCCCCAGUUGUCAACCAUGAUGUUAGUCCUGUCCCCAGUUGUCAACCAUGAUGUUAGUCCUGUCCCCAGUUGUCAACCAUGAUGUUAGUCCUGUCCCCAGUUGUCAACCAUGUUGUUAGUCCUGUCCCCAGUUGUCAACCAUGAUGUUAGUCCUGUGUUUUAUUGACUGUCUUCCUGUCCCCAGUUCUCAACCAUGAUGUUAGUCCUGUCCCCAGUUGUCAACCAUGAUGUUAGUCCUGUCCCCAGUUGUCAACCAUGAUGUUAGUCCUGUCCCCAGUUGUCAAGCAUGAUGUUAGUCCUGUCCCCAGUUGUCAACCACGAUGUUAGUCCUGUCCCCAGUUGUCAACCAUGAUGUUAGUCCUGUCCCCAGUUGUCAACCAUGAUGUUAGUCCUGUCCCCAGUUGUCAACCAUGAUGUUAGUCCUGUCCCCAGUUGUCAACCAUGAUGUUAGUCCUGUCCCCAGUUGUCAACCAUGAUGUUAGUCCUGUCCCCAGUUGUCAACCAUGAUGUUAGUCCUGUCCCCAGUUGUCAACCAUGAUGUUAGUCCUGUCCCCAGUUGUCAACCAUGAUGUUAGUCCUGUCCCCAGUUGUCAACCAUGAUGUUAGUCCUGUCCCCAGUUGUCAACCAUGAUGUUAGUCCUGUCCCCAGUUGUCAACCAUGAUGUUAGUCCUGUCCCCAGUUGUCAACCAUGAUGUUAGUCCUGUCCCCAGUUGUCAACCAUGAUGUUAGUCCUGUCCCCAGUUGUCAACCAUGAUGUUAGUCCUGUCCCCAGUUGUCAACCAUGAUGUUAGUCCUGUCCCCAGUUGUCAACCAUGAUGUUAGUCCUGUCCCCAGUUGUCAACCACGAUGUUAGUCCUGUCCCCAGUUGUCAACCACGAUGUUAGUCCUGUCCCCAGUUGUCAACCACGAUGUUAGUCCUGUCCCCAGUUGUCAACCACGAUGUUAGUCCUGUCCCCAGUUGUCAACCACGAUGUUAGUCCUGUCCCCAGUUGUCAACCACGAUGUUAGUCCUGUCCCCAGUUGUCAACCACGAUGUUAGUCCUGUCCCCAGUUGUCAACCACGAUGUUAGUCCUGUCCCCAGUUGUCAACCACGAUGUUAGUCCUGUCCCCAGUUGUCAACCACGAUGUUAGUCCUGUCCCCAGUUGUCAACCACGAUGUUAGUCCUGUCCCCAGUUGUCAACCACGAUGUUAGUCCUGUCCCCAGUUGUCAACCACGAUGUUAGUCCUGUCCCCAGGUCUCAACCAUGAUGUUAGUCCUGUGUUUUAUUGACUGUCUUCCUGUCCCCAGGUCUCAACCAUGAUGUUAGUCCUGUCCCCAGUUGUCAACCAUGAUGUUAGUCCUGUGUUUUACUGACUGUCUUCCUGUCCCCGGGUCUCAACCAUGAUGUUAGUCCUGUCCCCAGUUGUCAACCAUGAUGUUAGUCCUGUCCCCAGGUCUCAACCAUGAUGUUAGUCCUGUGUUUUAUUGACUGUCUUCCUGUCCCCAGGUCUCAACCAUGAUGUUAGUCCUGUCCCCAGGUCUCAACCAUGAUGUUAGUCCUGUGUUUUAUUGACGGUCUUCCUGUCCCCAGGUCUCAACCAUGAUGUUAGUCCUGUGUUUUAUUGACUGUCUUCCUGUCCCCAGGUCUCAACCAUGAUGUUAGUCCUGUGUUUUAUUGACGGUCUUCCUGUCCCCAGGUCUCAACCAUGAUGUUAGUCCUGUGUUUUAUUGACUGUCUUCCUGUCCCCAGGUCUCAACCAUGAUGUUAGUCCUGUGUUUUAUUGACUGUCUUCCUGUCCCCAGGUCUCAACCAUGAUGUUAGUCCUGUGUUUUAUUGACUGUCUUCCUGUCCCCAGGUCUCAACCAUGAUGUUAGUCCUGUGUUUUAUUGACUGUCUUCCUGUCCCCAGGUCUCAACCAUGAUGUUAGUCCUGUGUUUUAUUGACGGUCUUCCUGUCCCCAGGUCUCAACCAUGAUGUUAGUCCUGUGUUUUAUUGACUGUCUUCCUGUCCCCAGGUCUCAACCAUGAUGUUAGUCCUGUGUUUUACUGACGGUCUUCCUGUCCCCAGGUCUCAACCAUGAUGUUAGUCCUGUGUUUUACUGACAGUCUUCCUGUCCCCAGGUCUCAACCAUGAUGUUAGUCCUGUGUUUUACUGACUGUCUUCCUGUCCCCAGGUCUCAACCAUGAUGUUAGUCCUGUGUUUUAUUGACGGUCUUCCUGUCCCCAGGUCUCAACCAUGAUGUUAGUCCUGUGUUUUAUUGACUGUCUUCCUGUCCCCAGGUCUCAACCAUGAUGUUAGUCCUGUGUUUUAUUGACUGUCUUCCUGUCCCCAGGUCUCAACCAUGAUGUUAGUCCUGUGUUUUAUUGACGGUCUUCCUGUCCCCAGGUCUCAACCAUGAUGUUAGUCCUGUGUUUUAUUGACUGUCUUCCUGUCCCCAGGUCUCAACCAUGAUGUUAGUCCUGUGUUUUACUGACGGUCUUCCUGUCCCCAGGUCUCAACCAUGAUGUUAGUCCUGUGUUUUACUGACUGUCUUCCUGUCCCCAGGUCUCAACCAUGAUGUUAGUCCUGUGUUUUAUUGACUGUCUUCCUGUCCCCAGGUCUCAACCAUGAUGUUAGUCCUGUGUUUUAUUGACUGUCUUCCUGUCCCCAGGUCUCAACCAUGAUGUUAGUCCUGUGUUUUACUGACAGUCUUCCUGUCCCCAGGUCUCAACCAUGAUGUUAGUCCUGUGUUUUAUUGACUGUCUUCCUGUCCCCAGGUCUCAACCAUGAUGUUAGUCCUGUGUUUUAUUGACUGUCUUCCUGUCCCCAGGUCUCAACCAUGAUGUUAGUCCUGUGUUUUACUGACUGUCUUCCUGUCCCCAGGUCUCAACCAUGAUGUUAGUCCUGUGUUUUACUGACUGUCUUCCUGUCCCCAGGUCUCAACCAUGAUGUUAGUCCUGUGUUUUACUGACGGUCUUCCUGUCCCCAGGUCUCAACCAUGAUGUUAGUCCUGUGUUUUAUUGACUGUCUUCCUGUCCCCAGGUCUCAACCAUGAUGUUAGUCCUGUGUUUUAUUGACUGUCUUCCUGUCCCCAGGUCUCAACCAUGAUGUUAGUCCUGUGUUUUAUUGACUGUCUUCCUGUCCCCAGGUCUCAACCAUGAUGUUAGUCCUGUGUUUUAUUGACUGUCUUCCUGUCCCCAGGUCUCAACCAUGAUGUUAGUCCUGUGUUUUAUUGACUGUCUUCCUGUCCCCAGGUCUCAACCAUGAUGUUAGUCCUGUGUUUUAUUGACUGUCUUCCUGUCCCCAGGUCUCAACCAUGAUGUUAGUCCUGUGUUUUAUUGACUGUCUUCCUGUCCCCAGGUCUCAACCAUGAUGUUAGUCCUGUGUUUUAUUGACUGUCUUCCUGUCCCCAGGUCUCAACCAUGAUGUUAGUCCUGUGUUUUAUUGACUGUCUUCCUGUCCCCAGGUCUCAACCAUGAUGUUAGUCCUGUGUUUUAUUGACUGUCUUCCUGUCCCCAGGUCUCAACCAUGAUGUUAGUCCUGUGUUUUAUUGACUGUCUUCCUGUCCCCAGGUCUCAACCAUGAUGUUAGUCCUGUGUUUUACUGACUGUCUUCCUGUCCCCAGGUCUCAACCAUGAUGUUAGUCCUGUGUUUUACUGACUGUCUUCCUGUCCCCAGGUCUCAACCAUGAUGUUAGUCCUGUGUUUUAUUGACUGUCUUCCUGUCCCCAGGUCUCAACCAUGAUGUUAGUCCUGUGUUUUACUGACGGUCUUCCUGUCCCCAGGUCUCAACCAUGAUGUUAGUCCUGUGUUUUACUGACUGUCUUCCUGUCCCCAGGUCUCAACCAUGAUGUUAGUCCUGUGUUUUAUUGACUGUCUUCCUGUCCCCAGGUCUCAACCAUGAUGUUAGUCCUGUGUUUUAUUGACUGUCUUCCUGUCCCCAGGUCUCAACCAUGAUGUUAGUCCUGUGUUUUACUGACAGUCUUCCUGUCCCCAGGUCUCAACCAUGAUGUUAGUCCUGUGUUUUAUUGACUGUCUUCCUGUCCCCAGGUCUCAACCAUGAUGUUAGUCCUGUGUUUUACUGACAGUCUUCCUGUCCCCAGGUCUCAACCAUGAUGUUAGUCCUGUGUUUUACUGACUGUCUUCCUGUCCCCAGGUCUCAACCAUGAUGUUAGUCCUGUGUUUUACUGACUGUCUUCCUGUCCCCAGGUCUCAACCAUGAUGUUAGUCCUGUGUUUUACUGACUGUCUUCCUGUCCCCAGGUCUCAACCAUGAUGUUAGUCCUGUGUUUUACUGACUGUCUUCCUGUCCCCAGGUCUCAACCAUGAUGUUGGUCCUGUGUUUUAUUGACGGUCUUCCUGUCCCCAGGUCUCAACCAUGAUGUUAGUCCUGUCCCCAGGUCUCAACCAUGAUGUUAGUCCUGUGUUUUAUUGACUGUCUUCCUGUCCCCAGGUCUCAACCAUGAUGUUAGUCCUGUCCCCAGGUCUCAACCAUGAUGUUAGUCCUGUCCCCAGGUCUCAACCAUGAUGUUAGUCCUGUGUUUUACUGACAGUCUUCCUGUCCCCAGGUCUCAACCAUGAUGUUAGUCCUGUGUUUUACUGACAGUCUUCCUGUCCCCAGGUCUCAACCAUGAUGUUAGUCCUGUGUUUUAUUGACUGUCUUCCUGUCCCCAGGUCUCAACCAUGAUGUUAGUCCUGUGUUUUACUGACUGUCUUCCUGUCCCCAGGUCUCAACCAUGAUGUUAGUCCUGUGUUUUAUUGACUGUCUUCCUGUCCCCAGGUCUCAACCAUGAUGUUAGUCCUGUGUUUUACUGACUGUCUUCCUGUCCCCAGGUCUCAACCAUGAUGUUAGUCCUGUGUUUUAUUGACUGUCUUCCUGUCCCCAGGUCUCAACCAUGAUGUUAGUCCUGUGUUUUAUUGACUGUCUUCCUGUCCCCAGGUCUCAACCAUGAUGUUAGUCCUGU